rnacentral:rRNA from 1 species
UACGGGGGGGUAAGCGUUGUUCGGAAUUACUGGGCGUAAAGGGCUCGUAGGCGGCCAACUAAGUCAGACGUGAAAUCCCUCAGCUUAACUGGGGAACUGCGUCUGAUACUGGAUGGCUUGGAUCCGGAAGAGGGAUGCGGAAUUCCAGGUGUAGCGGUGAAAUGCUUAGAUAUGACAUAGAACACUAAUUGCGAAGGCAGCUCGCUACACAUAUAUUGACUCUGAGGCACGAAAGCGUGGGAUCAAACAGG